rnacentral:rRNA from 1 species
GGAUUAGAUACCCUGGUAGUCCACGCCGUAAACGAUGAGAGCUAGCCGUCGGUCAGCAUGCUGUUCGGUGGCGCAGCUAACGCAUUAAGCUCUCCGCCUGGGGAGUACGGUCGCAAGAUUAAAACUCAAAGAAAUUGACGGGGGCCCGCACAAGCGGUGGAGCGUGUGGUUUAAUUCGACGCAACGCGAAGAACCUUACCAGCUCUUGACAUUCAGGUCGCGAUUUCCGGAGACGGAUUUCUUCAGUUCGGCUGGACCUGGGACAGGUGCUGCAUGGUUGUCGUCAGCUCGUGCCG